CGAUGGCCGGCGAGUCUGAACAUUAGCCUGCAUCUUCUAGCAGGGCCUCAAGUCGCGUAGCUCGAAGACUCUGCCCGCUCCGGUGGUCCCGUGGGGCAUGCGCAGCUCGAGCGUGGAGGUGAGCAGCAGCUCGACAAUCCAUGCUGCAGUGCUGCGGAGGGCUACAUCAAUGGCUGCGAGGAACGUCACCAGGUCGCGGGUGUUGAAGAUGAUAUCCAUCUUGAGCGGAUUGAGCUCCAUGUCGCCUGGAUCGAUCUCCACUCUGCCGGAAUCAAGUCGUUGGCCAAGAUUCCCAGUUCUCCCCGUCGCCUGUAAGCUACCUUACUCGAACCUUAUCCAACUCCUAAUCUACCCUCCUGACCGGGCUGGGAUACGAGGUUUAUCGUAUGUCCUUCCCAUAACCUUGUAUCCCAUGAACCAAACGCCAACGGAGGGGUUAAGGGGGAUGUGAGAUGGCAUCACGUCUCUGCAGCGAUAUAUGUGGAAAACUCUCUGCUUUCUGUUUGUGGCUCCGUUAUCGACUCAGUUAAGGUGGAAGCAUCGGGGUCGUCGGAGUGAUCCGAAGGCGAUCGAAAGUCAGACUGGAGGCACAUUAUUCGCCUCCCCUCACUGGAGAUGGAACCGCGGUGGCGUGAACCCAGCGGCCUUCCUCCGGAUUACGGUUCAUCUGACGAAUGGUUCAGUGUAGAGGUACAUUCAGGAUUUUUCUGUGGGAUUGGAAGAAACAUAACCUAUCUAAAAUGACAUGAUCGACUAGUUUGAUUAUUGCAACAAUGAUACUUGGUCACUGCUAUGGGUGGAGGAUUUUUUGAAGCAACUACAGAUUGCAUUCACAGGCUAUGUGAAGGGGUACUGCUGUGUGCCUAACCAAUCAAUAGGAGAAGCAUUGAGGCCUCUUAAGUGUGAUGCUCACAUAGUGGAAAUGAAUAUAGCCAGCCAAAUUGCAAAGAACAUACUCUUAUAUGUUGACCAUCAUAACCUGUUGGAGUCACAGAAAAGUAAGUUGGUGGAUGACCCCUUGUUUGAUGGACAGGAGUAGUUUCCUUAUGUGACUCUUGACAAUAGAAAGAAGCUUCACGAGAGUGAACAAGGUGGAGGUUCAGAUGAGGAUUCUGAAACAGAACCAAUUUAUGUUGACUUAGAUUAUGAAAUAGACAAUGAUGAUGACCUCUAUAUGCACAAUGUCGAUGACACGGUUCAUGAUCAAAUGUGUGUGAAGAAAAGCAAAUGGCCUGCACUAGAGCGAGUGGAGAACGAGGAGGACAGUGAUACACCUGAUGUUGAAGAGCUGCAGCUGCCUGUUCAAGAAGAGAAGGAAACCAUUAAUUUUAAUUUCCAUACAUUCAGGGCUGAUAUUGAUAUGACAAAUCCAAUUUUUAGAGUUGGAAUGAUUUUUGCAGAUGUUAUAGAGCUUAGAAACGCUGUGGAUGCUUACAGCCUCAAGAAUAGAAGGCCUAUUUGGAAAGUAAGGAAUGAGAAGAACAGACUUGAAGCUGUGUGCAAAGAGGGUUGUCCUUGGUUUUUAAAGGCAGGAUAUGAUAGUAGAAGCCAAAGCAUGGUGGACAGUAGUUUACGGAUGUGGGUAUAGAUGGCAAUGACAUUAUAUAUCCAAUUGCUUGGGGGGUUACAGAAGUGGAGUCAACUAAUAGCUGGAAAUGGUUUCUGACCGCAUUCAAGAACGACCUUAACAUCAUUAAUACUGGACCAUACACCAUUAUGAGUGACAAACAGAAGGUGAGCAUUACUUAGUAGGCCUUUCUACACUCCAAUAGCUGUUUUUUUCUUUUUUAUAUGCACCACUAAUAUUUUUGGCCAACCCCCUUAGACAUUGUCACAAACGUCAGAUUUUUGGUUGCCA